ACGGUAACAGGAAGCAGCUUGCUGCUUCGCUGACGAGUGGCGGACGGGUGAGUAAUGUCUGGGAAACUGCCUGAUGGAGGGGGAUAACUACUGGAAACGGUAGCUAAUACCGCAUAACGUCGCAAGACCAAAGAGGGGGACCUUCGGGCCUCUUGCCAUCGGAUGUGCCCAGAUGGGAUUAGCUAGUAGGUGGGGUAACGGCUCACCUAGGCGACGAUCCCUAGCUGGUCUGAGAGGAUGACCAGCCACACUGGAACUGAGACACGGUCCAGACUCCUACGGGAGGCAGCAGUGGGGAAUAUUGCACAAUGGGCGCAAGCCUGAUGCAGCCAUGCCGCGUGUAUGAAGAAGGCCUUCGGGUUGUAAAGUACUUUCAGCGGGGAGGAAGGUGUUGAGGUUAAUAACCUCAGCAAUUGACGUUACCCGCAGAAGAAGCACCGGCUAACUCCGUGCCAGCAGCCGCGGUAAUACGGAGGGUGCAAGCGUUAAUCGGAAUUACUGGGCGUAAAGCGCACGCAGGCGGUCUGUCAAGUCGGAUGUGAAAUCCCCGGGCUCAACCUGGGAACUGCAUUCGAAACUGGCAGGCUAGAGUCUUGUAGAGGGGGGUAGAAUUCCAGGUGUAGCGGUGAAAUGCGUAGAGAUCUGGAGGAAUACCGGUGGCGAAGGCGGCCCCCUGGACAAAGACUGACGCUCAG
rnacentral:rRNA from 1 species